AGAAUCAACGCUGGCGGCGUGCCUAACACAUGCAAGUCGCACGAGAAAGGGGAGCAAUCCCUGAGUAAAGUGGCGCACGGGUGAGCAACACGUGAAUAAUCUACCUCCGAGUGGGGAAUAACUGAGAGAAAUCUUAGCUAAUACCGCAUAACACUUACGAGUCAAAGCAGCAAUGCGCUUGGAGAGGAGUUCGCGGCCGAUUAGUUAGUUGGCGGGGUAAUGGCCCACCAAGACGAUGAUCGGUAUCCGGCCUGAGAGGGCGCACGGACACACUGGAACUGAAACACGGUCCAGACUCCUACGGGAGGCAGCAGUGGGGAAUUUUGCGCAAUGGGGAAACCCUGACGCAGCAACGCCGCGUGGAGGAUGAAGCCCUUGGGGUGUAAACUCCUUUCGAUCGGGAAGAUAAUGACGGUACCGAUAUAAGAAGCCCCGGCUAACUUCGUGCCAGCAGCCGC
rnacentral:rRNA from 1 species